rnacentral:rRNA from 1 species
CACACAGUAAACGAUGAAUACUCGCUGUUUGCGAUAUACAGUAAGCGGCCAAGCGAAAGCAUUAAGUAUUCCACCUGGGGAGUACGCCGGCAACGGUGAAACUCAAAGGAAUUGACGGGGGCCCGCACAAGCGGUGGAGCAUGUGGUUUAAUUCGAAGCAACGCGCAGAACCUUACCAACCCUUGACAUCGGGAUCGCGGAUUACAGAGAUGUUUUCCUUCAGUUCGGCUGGAUCCCAGACAGGUGC